rnacentral:rRNA from 1 species
UACGAAGGGGGCUAGCGUUGUUCGGAUUUACUGGGCGUAAAGCGCACGUAGGCGGAUUGUUAAGUCAGGGGUGAAAUCCUGGAGCUCAACUCCAGAACUGCCUUUGAUACUGGCGAUCUUGAGUCCGGAAGAGGUGAGUGGAACUCCUAGUGUAGAGGUGGAAUUCGUAGAUAUUAGGAAGAACACCAGUGGCGAAGGCGGCUCACUGGUCCGGUACUGACGCUGAGGUGCGAAAGCGUGGGGAGCGAACAGG